UACGAAGGGGGCUAGCGUUGCUCGGAAUCACUGGGCGUAAAGCGCACGUAGGCGGAUCUUUAAGUCAGGGGUGAAAUCCCAAGGCUCAACCUUGGAACUGCCUUUGAUACUGGCGAUCUCGAGUCCGGGAGAGGUGAGUGGAACUGCGAGUGUAGAGGUGAAAUUCGUAGAUAUUCGCAAGAACACCAGUGGCGAAGGCGGCUCACUGGCCCGGUACUGACGCUGAGACGCGAAAGCGUGGGGAGCAAACAGG
rnacentral:rRNA from 1 species